AGCAGCCGCGGUAAUUCCAGCUCCAAUAGCGUAUAUUAAAGUUGUUGCAGUUAAAAAGCUCGUAGUUGAAUUUCAGGCCUGGCUGGACGGUCCGCCCUUCGGGUGAGUACUGUCUGUGGUCGGGUCCUACCUUCUGGCGAAGCGUCAUGGCCUUAACCGGCCGUGGCGGGGAACCAGGACUUUUACUGUGAAAAAAUUAGAGUGUUCAAAGCAGGCAAUCGCUUGGAUACAUUAGCAUGGAAUAAUGGAAUAGGACAAUGGUUCUAUUUGUUGGUUUCUUGGACCGUUGUAAUGAUUAAUAGGGAUAGUUGGGGGCAUUAGUACUCAAUUGUCAGAGGUGAAAUUCUUGGAUUUAUUGAAGACUAACUACUGCGAAAGCAUUUGCCAAGGAUGUUUUCAUUAAUCAAGAACGAAAGUUAGGGGAUCGAAGACGAUCAGAUACCGUCGUAGUCUUAACCAUAAACUAUGCCGACUAGGAAUCGGGCGAUGUUGAAAAAAUGACGC
rnacentral:rRNA from 1 species